rnacentral:rRNA from 1 species
CAGUCGCCGCGGGAAUACGUAGGGUGCAAGCGUUAAUCGGAAUUACUGGGCGUAAAGCGUGCGCAGGCGGUUAUAUAAGACAGAUGUGAAAUCCCCGGGCUCAACCUGGGAACUGCAUUUGUGACUGUAUAGCUAGAGUACGGCAGAGGGUGGUGGAAUUUCCUGUGUAGCGGUGAAAUGCGUAGAUAUAGGAAGGAACACCAGUGGCGAAGGCGGCUUACUGGCUCAUUCUAGACGCUGAGGUGCGAAAGCGUGGGGAGCAAACAGGAUUAGAUACCCCUGUAGUCCCUGUCUCUUAUAA